CAGUCGCCGCGGUAAUACAGAGGGUGCAAGCGUUAAUCGGAAUUACUGGGCGUAAAGCGCGCGUAGGUGGUUUGUUAAGUUGGAUGUGAAAGCCCCGGGCUCAACCUGGGAACUGCAUCCAAAACUGGCAAGCUAGAGUACGGUAGAGGGUGGUGGAAUUUCCUGUGUAGCGGUGAAAUGCGUAGAUAUAGGAAGGAACACCAGUGGCGAAGGCGACCACCUGGGCUCAUACUGACACUGAGGUGCGAAAGCGUGGGGAGCAAACAGGAUUAGAUACCCGAGUAGUCCCUGUCUCUUAUAC
rnacentral:rRNA from 1 species